rnacentral:rRNA from 1 species
AGAUUGAACGCUAGCGGGAUGCUUUACACAUGCAAGUCGAACGGCAGCGCAAGACCUUCGGGUCUGGCGGCGAGUGGCGAACGGGUGAGUAAUGUAUCGGAACGUGCCUAGUAGCGGGGGAUAACUACGCGAAAGCGUGGCUAAUACCGCAUACGCCCUACGGGGGAAAGGGGGGGAUCGCAAGACCUCUCACUAUUAGAGCGGCCGAUAUCAGAUUAGCUAGUUGGUGGGGUAAAGGCCCACCAAGGCCACGAUCUGUAGCUGGUUUGAGAGGACGACCAGCCACACUGGGACUGAGACACGGCCCAGACUCCUACGGGAGCAGCAGUGGGGAAUUUGGACAAGUGGGGAAACCUGAUCCAGCCAUCCCGCGUGUGCGAUGAAGGCCUUCGGGUUGUAAGCACUUUGGACGUAGGAAGAACUGCGCGCCUUAAGUACGGACGUCACUGACGGUACCUGCAGAA